UACGUAGGGUGCGAGCGUUAAUCGGAAUACUGGGCGUAAAGCGUGCGCAGGCGGUGAUGUAAGACAGGUGUGAAAUCCCCGGGCUUAACCUGGGAACUGCAUUUGUGACUGCAUCGCUGGAGUGCGGCAGAGGGGGGGAUGGAAUUCCGCGUGUAGCAGUGAAAUGCGUAGAUAUGCGGAGGAACACCGAUGGCGAAGGCAAUCCCCUGGGCCUGCACUGACGCUCCAUGCACGAA
rnacentral:rRNA from 1 species